UCCACAUUUCUUAUUAAGUAAUUAUUUAUGGGUUAUCUGGGAUAGGAGGGUCUCCCCCUCCUAUCCCAGAUAACCCAUAAAUAAUUACUUAAUGUCUUGAGCAGUGAAUAGUGAGUGUUGGCUAGUCGAAAGGGAUCCCUUAAAGCUGCAUCCGGGGGACUGCUCUACUCAAGAUGGCGGCGAGGCGAGCGACACACACUCGGCGGAAGGAGCUCCGGAUGGAAUCGCGCCGUCGUCGCUUCUGCGCUAUACCGCUGGAGAGCGAGAAAUACUGGAGGCUUACUUCAAGUUGAUGCAGCAGUUUGACCUUUGACCUUAUGGACAAAGUUCCAGCACAGAUUUAGUUUUAAUUUGCUUAAAAUAUGCUCUAAUUUAAAACUACAGCUGACUUUAUUUAAUAGUAGUAGCAGCUUAUUUUAGUCCUUAUUUCGACAUCCAACAGCAUUGUUGUGUUCCGGUAUAAAGGGUGUGGCUACUGGUGUAAUAUCCGGCAUACGAGAGCUAAUAUACCUAUCUGCCUUUCCGAACCGGCGGUAGAGUUUAGAAGACUUAAGAUUACAUGGAAAGGCAUCAAACACCAGGGUGCUAGAAAAGAUGACAAAAAUAGAGAAAAUUAUGUCCAUCAUCAAGAAACUGAGCAGCUUCUUUGGAUGGUUGCAGAGAGAAGCUCAGUUCUUGUUUCCAAGACUAAUCUUGAAAGGAGAGUUAGUGGGCAAGAGAAGAAAGGCGUAAAAGAAGAAAAUGUUUAGACAAUAGAAGAGAGUGGAUCGGACUCUACCUAUCCGCAACCGAAGCGAGUUGUGAAAGAUAGAAAAGCUUGUCGCAUUGAUGAUGAUAUAUGAUUAGAAAGUAAUACUUCUCGGGUGCCGGUUGUUCUAAUGAGAUAUUACCAGACUUCAAUUUAUAAUACGGACCCAGAAGUACUGUAGACGACACAACGACAAAGAAAGUGUCUGUAAUUUCCAUCAUCACAGAGGUCAGGUAGCUAUUUGUUAUAUUUCAAAAGGUCCCGCCCUUUAUCCGUCGGCUCCUUGAUUUUCCGCCUUAGAACAAUGCCUCUGAUACUAAAUGAGACCUUCAAGAAUCCAUUCUUUUGUCUCCGUUGAGAUUGGAUGUCUAAGCUGAAUUAUGCUUAGUAAUUGAGACUGAAACUUCUUGGCGAAAUACUACAUUCUAUAAGGUGAUAUUGAACGACAAGUCUGUCUAUAAGUAUAACUUUUCAACAAUCUACCCGUCUAGUAGUUUAUGAAAUUCAUUUGGAAUAAGAACGCCAAACGUUAAAGGUGUAAUUAUAUAAAACUAGCUGCGCCCCGCGGCACGGGGGUUAAAUUUUACAAGCAAACUUAAUAAAAAGAAUAGGUUUUGAUUCAACGCGUACGUUUUUGUCUUUUUUAUUAAUAUUAUUAUUCCAUAGCUGUGUCUUUUAUUAAAACUGUAAAAAAUAAAUAAUGUAUGUGUGUUUAAAACAUUUUUGGUGACAAAUCUGUUUAGUAGUAAGGAGCAGCAAAGCAGCGUAAAAGAAUAACCAACAUACACACACAUUCACACACAUUUACCUAAACUUUCUUCUUUAUUAAUAUUAGUGUGAUUUAUAAUAUUAAAGCUUUUGUUGAAUGCCAACUCACGAAAAAUUGUUUACAUCGAUUUUCCUGCGGACAAAGUCAGGGGUGUCUGCUAGUAAUUUACAAUUUCAAGACCGAAAAUGUUUCCUCUGAGAGAUCGUUAAAAUCCGACAUAUAAAUACGAUAAAUGAUCAAAAUAUCCAUACCAUAAAAACGCUUACAUUACGAAGAUUGAACUUUAGGUUGGUCUUAUAAAGAUUUAUAACAAAGGUUCUACAGAUGCAAUCCCCUCCGAUCACGAGUAAUAGAUAUUGAUUUCCUCGCUUCAUUCGGUUUUUCUCUUCUUCAUAUUUAAGCCCGGCCUGUCAGUAGGGGAAAAUUGUUUUAUUUGGAUAUUUGCUACGCUUUGGUUCGCUGAUGAGAAAUGGAUAAUGUGUAAAAAUCUCACUUUCGUUGAAUGUUAAAAAAUGAUUUCGAAUUAAAUAUAAUAUUUAGUUACAAUAAAUACAUUAUGUUUAAUCUUAUGGUAGGUAUUAGUUGCUAAAUUAAAUGUGUUAUAAGUUGAGUGUAAUUUUUACAGAACAAACACGUACAAAAAUAACAUCAUAUGUUAGCCUUAUGAUCACUUUGAAGGCGGUGCCAAGCCAGUGGUAUAUAAAUUAAAGUCGUUUCUGAAAGAAAAAACAGUCUGAAAAUCCUAAAAUUUUAUGAUUUAAACGGCUUCAGUAAUGAAUCAUUGUGUUGGCACCGCCUUAAAAGUGAUCACAAGCCUAACAUACGAUGUUAUUUUUUCGCUUUUUAGUUUAUUUUUGUGAUUUUGAAGUCGAUAGAAUUUUUUGUUAAAAAUAUUUUAUUUUUCUGUUUUUAGUAUGUCCUAGCACAGUAAACGAAAGCGCCAAAGUAAUGAGCCGAUUUUCAUGAAAAUUUAAUGAGACCAAUCUGGAAGUAUAUUCUUUCCACAAUAUAAGAAUUUUCAAAAUUGGUUAAGAAAUUACAAAGUUAUGGGGUAGCAAAUAUUAAAAAUAAAAAUUACGCAUCGAAUUGAGAACCUACUCCUUUUUUUAAGUCGGUUAAAAAUAUAUUAUAAUUUCUCUUUUAUACGUCAGCUUUUACGUGAGCAUUGAUAAAACUGGAAAGUUCGGAAUGUUCUCAAGUUGUGAAAAUUCCUGGCCGCCAAGUGGGAAGCGCUGCUGAGUAUUUCUUUAUUACGGAACUUCAGAGUUUGUAAGUUAUCGAUCUUUUUACUUAAUAUUCAACAAGUUUGGAGUUAUGCUUGACAAGUUAAAGUGAAACUUACCUACUGCGUAAUCAGUCUACAUUGGGAGUACCCAUAAGUUUUUUUUAAAAAAAGAAUAUAUGCCAUAUCUUUUUUAAAUGUGACUAAUAUUCCCAUUCCCCUCUAAUUAGUCGGGAAAGACUGUGCUAGGAGUGGGUACGACAAUAGACCAACGGGGCGGGGAUCGAAUCACCACCUUUCCGGUGAUGAGUCCGACCGCUCUUACCGUUGUGCUGUCAUACUUAUAUUAGUUAUUUUAAGGCUAAAUUCAUAAUAACCGUCGCAGGUUUUUUUUUAAUUUUUGGAGCGAAAAAUUAUGUAGAAGAUUAGUGGAGUGUUUUUCUUCUAAAUAGGGUUUUUCACAGGAAUUCAAGGAAGUCAAAAUUACCUUAUUUUCUGUCAUCCUUUCUUCUGUAUGUUUUCACGCUCUCGUAUUCUAGUUAUGCGGCUCUUAAUUCAAUGUUAUCAUGUUACUUGCGUUAAAUAAUCACAGUUUUACAGAAAUUUGAACACACAUGCGAAUUGAACGCACUACAGGGCGCUGUCAAUUUUAGUUCAGGUAUGGUUCAAGUUCUUGUCACGGGACUUCUUUUGUGGCGCGGGGUUUAAUAAUGUGUUUUGUCACAGAAAACAUAUGGUUUUAUCACAGGAUGGACGCGGAAGAGGGGGGUUAAAAAUGGAUCACGUUUCUUUUUAUGCAAAUGAUUCUAAAAUCUAUACAUUAAACUAAACCAUCUUCUUCAUUGUUCUUGAGCCGUGAUAGCCCUGAGGAUAUGACCUCUGCCUCCGAUUCAGAAGGGUGUGGGUUCAAAUCCGGACCGGGGCAUGCACCUCCAACUUUCAGUUGUGUGCGUUUUAAGAAAUUAGAUAUCACUUGCCUCAAACGGCGAAGGAAAAACAUCGUGAGAGUGCAUACUGCAUA